AAGUCGUAACAAGGUUUCCGUAGGUGAACCUGCGGAAGGAUCAUUAUUGAAUAUGCUUGAUGGGUUGUCGCUGGCCUUUCGGGGCAUGUGCACGCCUAUCUUGACUCUUAUUCAUCCACCUGUGCACCUCCUGUAGUUCUUUCUUGGUGGUUGGGGAACCGGUGACCCGACUUUGGGUUCCGUGGAACUGCCGUCAGGAUGGGUCUAUGUCUUUUUAUCAUAUACCAUGUAGCAUGUUGCCAGAAUGUAGUCAAUGGGCCUUCAUGUGCCUAUAAAAACCAUAUACAACUUUCAGCAACGGAUCUCUUGGCUCUC
rnacentral:misc_RNA from 1 species